UAUUACCGUAUUUCUGCUGCAGCAACAACGUAACAGUGAUGUUUAAUCAGGAAGGAGGUCUGGUCACUAAUAAAAAUGAAUGGUUGGAGAAUGGAAAUGGCCUUGGGAUGGCAAGCAUGCCCAGCCAGGUAUAGCACAGGGACAAGCUGUGAGCGAUAUCCSCAGCAGCUAGACUUGCUGUGCUUCACAGAAUUAUGGGAAAGGAAGAAAAGAUAUGCAACUGAACUAAUCAUCAGAUUUCCUAAUUGCCACACCUGGACUAUGAUCACCUCAGUGACAGUCAAAUGUCCAUUAAGGAGCAGAUAAUAGUAGCCUGUGUCUCAUCUGCAAAAGCAAACAAGGACACUAGUGAAGACAAGACAAAGCAGCUGUUUGAAGGAAGAACAAGAACAGAAGUAUGCCUUGUGCUCAGGAAUGGACCUUUUCUAAUAGCACAAAGUGAYGGAAAGGACUGGUCCCUCUUUCUUUUGGAAAUUGAAGAUUAUUUUCAGUUCUCAUCCAUGCAGCUGAAGAAGAAAGAAAUCACCUGAAUGCCAAUAAAUGCAGAAAYACAUAAGAGGCUAAUUGACUACACCUUCCCCUCAAUUCAGCGUGUUACUACAGCCUAGGAYGUACAGACAACAGAAAGAUUUUCACCAGGAGUCUGMAUUGAUGCCUCAUAUCCCUCUAGGAGAGCUUACCUUGAGUGCAGGUCUGUGGAACUUCAAGCUCCAGUUAUAUCUAUUCAUAUAUGAUCUGAAGUCAAACUUGUGACUGAGACUCUGGAAAYAGCCUAGGUGCACUUUGCUUGAUGGGACUGUUUCUACUAGAAUCAACUCAGGAAUGAACAUAGUCUGGACAACAGGACUAUCAGUUGUGAUUAACUGUUUGGGGACUGGAAGCCUGCUUCUGCUCUCAUCUUUCCCAGGGCACAGCGAAGAGGUGAUUUCAUGUCCAGUGACUUUAAAAGGAAAAGCAUCCAGGGUACCUAGAAAGUCUAAGAAUCAUAGAAUGGUUUGGGUUGGAAGGGACCAUGAAGAUCCUCUAAUUCCAACUUCCCUGCCAUGGGCAGGGAUACCCUUCCACGAGACCAGUCUCCUCAAAGCUCCUUCCAGCCUGGCCSUGAACAUUUCCAGGGWUAGGUCAUUCACCACCUCUCUGAAGAAUCUGUCCUUUGACCCACCACUCUCACAGUCAAGGAUUUUCAUCCUAGUAUCUAAUCUAAACCUGCCUUUUUUCAGUUUAAAGCCAUUCCCCCAUGUCCUAUCAUCACACACCCUUGUAAAAUGUCUCUCUCUUAUCCUCCACGUAUUUUAAUUGGGCUUACAAAAUGUUUUCACUUUGCAUAUCAGCCACAAGAAGCAAAAAGUAAAAAAGGUUAAGGGUGAAUUUCAUCUUUCCUCCAGCUCCAAACACAUUUUACUGUAUAGAACAAAAACAUAUUUGUCCACUAAUUUUACAAGCCAAAUCUUAAACUGGCUUUCAACUUUUAAAAAACUUCUAUAAACACAUUAAUAAAUACCUAUUACUGCACUCUGGCAUAAAAACAGCUCUAUAAAGAUGCUAAUAUACAUCCAUAUGUUUUAAGAUCAUAGAGCUUAAUUUUAGUUUAAAAUACCGUAGAAAGGGAGUAUUUUGGUUUAUUAUUUUGGUGACAGGCAARGGAAUAAACACUUGUUGCUUAUUGCUGCAGCCUUUUAUUAUGUAUUUCUUCAGUUCUUGGUUUAUGACAAGACAAUGGACAUACUUUCAUUACCCUGCAGAAAUUCCAGGCUGCAACCCAUGAUCAGACUUCAUUUGUCUAAUUGCAAAUGAAGCAAUUAGACAGAAAUACUGCCCUUCUGCCUGAGUAGAGCACUGCCCUACCUUCACUACACAAUAUCUAUAAUCUAACCUACCCAGGUGAGGUCUGCAUCACAGAGCUGGUAUCACACAGACACACCUGAAAUUCCAACAGUGUUAAACACUUCCAAAGGCCAUGCUGGAAUCAGAAUAUCCAGUU